UAGAGGAGGGUAAGAGAUGGAAAAAGGAAUGGAGAUUGGAUUUGGAAUUGAUGAACCAAUGUGUGGCAUUAGUUGAAUCUCUGAGGACGCAAACCUUCAGCAGAUUGAGGAAGGGCUGGACGAAACCCUAGUUCUUCAUUUGGGAGUGGGAGAUAUUCAGUUUUCCACAUUGAGCAUAAGAGGUUAUGGUGAUUGGGAAGGACAAUCUGUCCUUUCACUCGAGCUUUCAUUGGUGGCUUAAGGACAAUUACUUGGGUUUACAUUGAGGGUAUUAUAUUUAGUAUCAAAGAACCCUUGAUCAGCAUUAUGGUGGAAAUUGGCAGAUUUCAUUAAGCGCUGAUUGAAGACAGAUUGGUGUGAAAGAUCUACUGGUUUCCAGGUCUGAAUCAGCUCCACGAUCUCACCCAUUGCUCAGCAUGUAAGCAUCGAACCCCAUUAUGGUUAUCAGCAAUAUGUUUGGAAUUAUAAGGCGAUCUUGUUUCAUAUGUAUUGGAGGUGGUUACACAGCUGCUGUUGGAAUAUUCCAAGUCUGAGUCAAAUUCGAUCUGCAUACUUCUAACCCACGAAGUUGUUCAUUGUGCAUCAUUGGAGUAUCCAAACAUCACCUUGUAGUCAUCGAUUUGAUUAAGGGAGUGAGGCGAUCCUUUAGUGGCAAUUUGGAAGGAGUUAAUGGGGAAAUCGGCCUCCAAACAUCUUCAAAUCAGAAUUCGAACCAGUCUGAUAUAAACCCUCGAUUUUGUCAUUCUUUCAUUACCUAAGCUCCAAAUUUCAAACUAGAAGCUAGCGAUUGGGUUAAGGAAGGAAGGCGACUCACUUGGUGUUAAUUUGAAGGUGACUUAUGAGAGGUUCGGCAUAUAAUGAAUUUUUUAUCAGAAUCGAACUUCACUGUGGUAACUCAUGGAUUUGGCUCAUAGCUCUCACAUUCGACUGCCAGAUUUCAUAUAGAGUAAGGCGACCCCUCUGUACACCUUAGGCGAUCUUUUGGUGGAAGUUUGAAGUGCUUAAGGCGGCUACCCAUUGAGAUCUCCGACCUCCAUUGCUGCAGUAGGGUUGAAGUUGGAAGAGGUCAGAUUUGGAGAGACUUUGACAUUGGAUAUUGUUUAUUUCUUCAAGGCGCCCCUUACCAGAAAUGUAUUGAUAAACUCAAAGAAGGGGAUGAAGUUAGGGGUUGGAUCCGUUUGAUGGUGUUGCUAUGGGCAUUGAGCGGAUUCACUCCCUAUCUAUUGUACAUGGAGUCAAGUUGAAAGGAACAAGAGAUGAAAAUGUAAACAUUUUAAAGGUCACAAGUAACAUACCCCUUGCUUAUGAAGACAAAAUAGAUGGAGUUGUCCGUCUGAAAGAGAAAGAGGGAACUUUCACAUGGUGGUCACUCAAAUAUUUGCAAAAAAUGACAUAGUUGAUCAUGUUUAUCAUGUACGUACUAGUUGUUAGACAUCUUGGUUCACUUCUUUACGUAGUAUUUUGAAUGUGUUUUUCAAGGCUCUUAAUUAUCAUGGUGUGUUUGAAAGAGUUGGAAACUCAGAAAACUUUG